ensembl:lncRNA
CGAUUGCAUUGGUCAUCAACCGUCUUUUUUACAUGACCACGGAAUCAAAAACAUCAACAACAGCAAAUGAGUGGCGUGUUACGAUCGAAAACACAGUCGUCAUGAGCAGGAGGAAGCAAGAGGGUUGCAGAGACAUUCGGCAAUGUUUUGCCUCGUCUCAGAAAAGAAGCAAAAAUAAAGAGAGUGAAGCACAGAGAGAGCAAGAACGUUUGGAGGAUGAAACGUUUGUGUGUCAAUCUGGUAGUGACAUAGAGAGUAGAGCUAGUGAGCCAGUGGGAGAGACAGAAAGUUUGGAGGAUGAAAGCACAGGGAGAGUUUGUCAAUCUAGUGGUGGCAUAGAGCACUCCAUGCGCCAUGCCAAGAAGUUUAAGUUGCAGGGCCCACGGAACAAUUGAAGACCGGAAGAAGCUCGCGGAGUAGGGUAACUGCUCUUCCGCUUAGCUUAGCUAAGCUGUUUACCAUGAAAAGGAGGCAGAUCGAUACCUGUGGACCAAGUCUCUCUCCAACCUACCUAAAUUGUCCUACGACAACGUCCUAAGGAUCGUAAAUCAGCACUCACGUGUCGAUACAUCUAAACUACGCAAAGGAUAUAAGUUCUUCUGGGAGAAGUACAUUUUUAAUUACAAAGACACAUGACUACCACUUCACAGGGGAGCAAAGCGUGCCAACACCUCUGUCGUGCACCAGUGUUCUGCAGUCGUGGACCAAGGACACAGGGGAUUCGCUCCAGGGGAUUCGCCCGGAACCCACUGACCAACUUGUGGUCAGGAAACCCAAGGUUUGGGUUAGGUGUUUUAUUUUAACACAUACAUGGACACAUACCUCCUGAAUGCCAAGUAAACAUGGCCGAGGGACACACACACACAUUUCAUUUAUUUAUUUCUGUUAAAUGUAUAUAUGUAAAUAUUUUAAUCAAAGAAUUGGAAAAAAACAUUCCUGAACAUUUGUUUAAGGUAACACACUCUGAGCACCUUUUAAAACAAGCCUGAAGACUUUUGUUUCCAUUAGCUUUCUGCUACAUCUUAAAUACAUUGCACUUUCUAAAAAGCUUUUUGAACUUUGCCUUUAUUUUCUAUUUUAAUACUAAAAUGCCUUUAACUUUCUAUUUUACUCAUUUCUUUGCAUAUGUUUUCUUUUACUUAUCUAUUUUAUUGUAUGACAAUGUUUAUAUGUGAAGCACUUUGAGUUUGCCUUGUGUAUGAAAAGUGCUAUAUAAAUAAAGUUGCCUUGCCUAACACACACAGAACAUUUCAUUUCUUUCUGUUAAAUGUAAAUAUGUAUAUAUGUAAAUUUAUAUUUAAAAAAAAAAAGAAUUGGAAAAAUUAAAUAAACAUUUGAAAAGGACGGACGGACACAAACACACAAUUUUAAUUUCUUUCUGCUAAAUGUAAACAAAGAACAUUAAUAAACGUUUGAAAAUAGU